AUUGAACGCUGGCGGCAGGCUUAACACAUGCAAGUCGAGCGGGGGGAGGUAGCUUGCUACCGGACCUAGCGGCGGACGGGUGAGUAAUGCUUAGGAAUCUGCCUAUUAGUGGGGGGCAACAUCUCGAAAGGGAUGCUAAUACCGCAUACGUCCUACGGGAGAAAGCAGGGGAUCUUCGGACCUUGCGCUAAUAGAUGAGCCUAAGUCGGAUUAGCUAGUUGGUGGGGUAAAGGCCUACCAAGGCGACGAGCUGUAGCGGGUCUGAGAGGAUGAUCCGCCACACGAGGACUGAGACACGGCCCCGGCGGCUACGGGUGGCAGCAGUGGGGAAUAUUGGACAAUGGGGGGAACCCUGAUCCAGACAUGCCGCGUGUGUGAAGAAGGCCUUAUGGUUGUAAAGCACUUUAAGCGAGGAGGAGGCUACUUUAGUUAAUACCUAGAGAUAGUGGACGUUACUCGCAGAAUAAGCACCGGCUAACUCUGUGCCAGCCGCCGCGGUAA
rnacentral:rRNA from 1 species